ACGCACGCUGGCGGCGUGCUUAACACAUGCAAGUCGCACGGAAAGGCCCUGCUUUUGUGGGGUGCUCGAGUGGCGAACGGGUGAGUAACACGUGAGUAACCUGCCCUUGACUUUGGGAUAACUUCAGGAAACUGGGGCUAAUACCGGAUAGGAGCUCCUGCUGCAUGGUGGGGGUUGGAAAGUUUCGGCGGUUGGGGAUGGACUCGCGGCUUAUCAGCUUGUUGGUGGGGUAGUGGCUUACCAAGGCUUUGACGGGUGGCCGGCCUGAGAGGGUGACCGGCCACAUUGGGACUGAGAUACGGCCCAGACUCCUACGGGAGGCAGCAGUGGGGAAUAUUGCACAAUGGGCGGAAGCCUGAUGCAGCAACGCCGCGUGCGGGAUGACGGCCUUCGGGUUGUAAACCGCUUUCGCCUGUGACGAAGCGUGAGUGACGGUAAUGGGUAAAGAAGCACCGGCUAACUACGUG
rnacentral:rRNA from 1 species